GGCACAUGCUAGGUCAGUUCAAAAUGCGGCCAAUCUUGGCACAGCCCCAGAUCCAUUUGAGUCAAUUCCACUACUUACCUGGUAUGACAAGAUAGAGGAGAGGGUCAAAAAACAAGCAAGGGAAGAUAUUGGAUGGUAAAAAUUAAGGAUCGACGUCUCUCCGAACCCAAUAGGACGUGAUUCAGUGGUAAAUGCUGACAAGGGAUUGAAAGAAGUCUUGUGCUCGAUUCCCUACAGAAUCAUUAUUGGGUUGUUCGGUAUUGGCUAUGACGGGUAUGGUCAGCCAGCUCACCUCGGGUUUGACGAGAAGCGAAAUCGGGUGAAAAUUGGCGACUUAUAGUAGAUGCUGAACCUGCUACGCCAUUGACUAUGACUAAGAGGGGGGCGGGCGCGGGCUUACGUACUUACCUCGCUUGCCAGCAUUCGCGCUUCUGGGAGGGUUGGCUCAGCUUAUCAUGCUAAAAGAAGUAAGCAUGUGAGCUUCUCGCUUUUUAGUCCCCCAUUUUAUAUUUAUUAAAAAUAAAAUAAAACUUUUGAGAGUUAUAAGAGCUUCAAAACUUAAUAU